AGUGAACGCUGGCGGUAGGCCUAACACAUGCAAGUCGAACGGCAGCACAGUAAGAGCUUGCUCUUACGGGUGGCGAGUGGCGGACGGGUGAGGAAUACAUCUGAAUCUACCUUUUCGUGGGGGAUAACGUAGGGAAACUUACGCUAAUACCGCAUACGACCUGCGGGUGAAAGCAGGGGAUCUUCGGACCUUGCGCGAUUGAAUGAGCCGAUGUCGGAUUAGCUAGUUGGCGGGGUAAAGGCCCACCAAGGCGACGAUCCGUAGCUGGUCUGAGAGGAUGAUCAGCCACACUGGAACUGAGACACGGUCCAGACUCCUACGGGAGGCAGCAGUGGGGAAUAUUGGACAAUGGGCGCAAGCCUGAUCCAGCCAUACCGCGUGGGUGAAGAAGGCCUUCGGGUUGUAAAGCCCUUUUGUUGGGAAAGAAAAGCAGCAGGUUAAUACCCCGCUGUUCUGACGGUACCCAAAGAAUAAGCACCGGCUAACUUCGUG
rnacentral:rRNA from 1 species